rnacentral:misc_RNA from 1 species
GUGAAUCAUCAAAUUUUUGAACGCAAAUUGCACUCUCUGGUAUUCCGGAGAGUAUGCCUGUUUGAGGGUCAGUUUAAAUAAAAAUCGGUGUGGUUGCUGCCUUUCGUGGUGACGCACCGGAUUUGGGUCGUCUUGCCUUCGGUUAAGUGACCUAAAAUUUUGCAUGAUUUUUUUGAACGGAUUUAAAAUAUUUUACGUUCCGUUGCGAUUGUGGA